CACGUAGGAGGCGAGCGUUGUCCGGAAUCAUUGGGCGUAAAGAGCGCGCAGGCGGCUUGGCAAGUCGGGUGUGAAAUCCCGGGGCUCAACCCCGGGACUGCAUUCGAUACUGUCAGGCUAGAGGUAGGUAGGGGAGAUCGGAAUUCCCGGUGUAGCGGUGAAAUGCGUAGAGAUCGGGAGGAAGGCCGGUGGCGAAGGCGGCGCUCUGGAACGUUUCUGACACUGAGGCUCGAAAGCGUGGGGAGCAAACAGG
rnacentral:rRNA from 1 species